AUGGAAGACAACUGGUUAGUUUGGAACGUCAGGGGUUUGAACAACCCAGCUAGGAGAGCUGUGGUUAAGGAGGUGGUGUAUCGCAACAAUGUAUCCCUAGUUUGUUUGCAAGAAACGAAGCUAUCAUUCAUCGAUAGAGCUAUGGUGGCACAGUGAUGUGGCAAUGAGUUCUCGGAGUUUGCAUACCUACCCGCUGAGGGCACCAGAGGGGGCGUGCUGCUAGCA
rnacentral:rRNA from 1 species